AGAGAUGUGUGAUGACGCAUAUCAAUAAGCGGAGGAAAAGAAACUAACAAGGAUUCCCUUAGUAACGGCGAGUGAAGCGGGAAGAGCUCAAAUUUGAAAUCUUCAAGGUUCUACCUUGACGAAUUGUAGUUUAUAGAAGUGUUUUCUGUUAGUAGAGUGGCAAAAGUUCUUUGGAAUAGGACAUCAUAGAGGGUGAGAAUCCCGUAUUUGGUCAUUCUUUCUAGCUUUGUGAUACACUUUCAACGAGUCGGAUUGUUUGGGAAUGCAGUCCAAAAUGGGUGGUAAAUUUCAUCUAAAGCUAAAUAUUGGCGAGAGACCGAUAGCGAACAAGUACCGUGAGGGAAAGAUGAAAAGAACUUUGAAAAGAGAGUUAAACAGUACGUGAAAUUGUCAAAAGGGAAGCGUUUGACACCAGUGUUGUUUUUCCGAAAAUCAAUUACGAAUGUUUUGUUUUUGAGAAGUUAUGACUUCAUCGGCUUGCUUCUCUCUUUACGAAACUUUCUUAAUGCACUUUUCGGUUAACAAGUCAACAUCAAUUUCUUUUGUUGUAAAAGGGUAUGAGGAAGGUGGCUUUCUUUUCGGAGAAAGUGUUUAUAGCCUUGUACCUCUGCAAUCGGAGAGAUUGAGGUCUGCAGCGUAGAUCCUUCGGGGUUAGAUACAUUUGUGCUAAGUUAUAGCUUUUCAUAGACAACUUGUUGACUAUGUUAAGUCUUGUAGCUUACUCGCUUAUGCUAUUUUACCUACGCUUAGGAUGUUGAUCUGUAGUGCGUGCGC
rnacentral:rRNA from 1 species